rnacentral:ncRNA from 1 species
CGAUACCCUUCCGAGACAGGUGCCCCUGAGGUUCAGGGGAUAAUCGGGAAGUCUGGUAAGGCCACGGCCGAUCCCAGCGCUGCCCCCGCAACGGUAAUGAAGCGCGAUCCGCGACGACCACUGGCGACAUGCCGGGAAGGUGCGGAUCACGGCACGACGCCCACGGCCAUGCCCCGGCGAGUGCCCCUUCCGAGCCCGGAGACCGGCCUGUCACGUCGAGUCAUU